rnacentral:rRNA from 1 species
CCUACGGGAGGCAGCAGUGGGGAAUUUUGGACAAUGGGCGCAAGCCUGAUCCAGCAAUGCCGCGUGAGUGAAGAAGGCCUUCGGGUUGUAAAGCUCUUUUGUCAGGGAAGAAACGGUGAAGGCUAAUAUCCUUUGCUAAUGACGGUACCUGAAGAAUAAGCACCGGCUAACUACGUGCCAGCAGCCGCGGUAAUACGUAGGGUGCAAGCGUUAAUCGGAAUUACUGGGCGUAAAGCGUGCGCAGGCGGUUUUGUAAGUUUGUCGUGAAAUCCCCGGGCUCAACCUGGGAAUGGCGAUGAAGACUGCAAGGCUAGAAUCUGGCAGAGGGGGGUUAGAAUUCCACGUGUAGCAGUGAAAUGCGUAGAGAUGUGGAGGAACACCGAUGGCGAAGGCAGCCCCCUGGGUCAAGAUUGACGCUCAUGCACGAAAGCGUGGGGAGCAAACAGGAUUAGAUACCCUGGUAGUCCACGCCCUAAACGAUGUCUACUAGUUGUCGGGUUUUAAUUACGUUGGUAACGCAGCUACGCGUGAGUAGACCGCCGUGGGAGGUACGGUCGCGAGAUAAACGUACAAUAGAGUAGACGGCGUGAGACGUGCCGACGGACGACGACGAGGGAGGAGG